GGAACGGCAAGGACGCCCGCCGAGGCGGCCCCUCGGCAACGCGCCCGACGCGGGGCCUUGCGGACUCGCGCCGACAGGAAGGAGCGAUUGCAAGUAAGAAUAUGGGAUGGCAUGCACAGAAUUGUCCAAAGGAAGAUGACUCUGCUUCCUUUUGAAGGACAGAUUUGAAGGCCAGAGUCUGUGGCUGUCAGGGGAAGUUAGUAGUACAUGCAGUGGAGUGCUCACCAGUGAACACAG